rnacentral:lncRNA from 1 species
GUGACUCAAAAGCAGCAGCAUCACUGAAAAGCCCAUCACCCCACCAUGGGUGGUGAAACAAAAGUUGCAUCCCUGGAGCUUCCUGAUGAGCAGCCUCCUCAGCCAAACCUGUUCUCUACUUUUCUACUCCAGCUGCGUAUUCUCUUUUGAGCUUCCUUCCUUCUCCCAGAGUGAAUGUUACAAUUCUGAGGAAACAGCAGUACACACUAUUCAUUGCCAUGAUUUCCUUAGAACACAUAGAACAGUGAAGGGAAUAUAGGAGAGCAUUUGUUCAUCUCUUGACAACUAUUGAGAAGGCCUGUUGCACUGAUGAGCUUUUGUCAAUGUGACAAAAACCUAGACAUGCCUGGGAAGAUGGAUCAGUUGAGGAACUCUCUCCAUCAGAUUGGCCCGGAAAACGGAUGGAUCUAGAAGAAACCAUUCUGAGCGAGGUAACCCAAUCACAAAAGGACAAACAUGCUGGUGGAAGUAGAAGCAGAUACCCAUAACUAAUCACUGAUCUAAACUGGAACCCAGAUGCAGAGAAGGACCAGUGAAGAGUACAGAGGUCCAGACCAGGCUGGUGAAACACACAGAAACAGCUGACCUGAACAUCUGGGAACUCUUGCUCCCCAGUCUGAUAGCUGGAAUACCAGCAUGGGAAUGAUCCAGACCCAAGGAAUAUGGGUUUCUGUGAGGAAACCUCAGAAAUCUAUGGGACCUCCUGUAGAAGCCUUUUUUUUUUUUUUUUUUUUUUUUUUUUUUUUUUUUUUUUUUUUUUUUUUGAGA